CUGAGGAGACAGGAGGCGGGGUUUUCUGUGGAGAGGGAGGAGCUGAAGAGGCAGGCCUCCCACUGGAAUGGGAGGUGGGAGGAGGUGGCCAUGAAGCUCCGCCUUACUCAGGCCAAGCUGGAGGAGGCGCAGAGGGAGCACGAGCAGGAGGCCUGCAGGCUGAGGGAGGAGGCCACUGGAAUGGCACAGUCUGUCAGGACCCUUCAGACCGAGCUGCAGAGAAGCAGAGAUGAUGUCAGCCAUCUCCUCCAGCAGAAAGCUCAAGUUGAAGAUGCCAUGGAGAAACUCAAG